rnacentral:rRNA from 1 species
AUUGAACGCUGGCGGCAGGCCUAACACAUGCAAGUCGAGCGAGCGGCGGACGGGUGAGUAAUGCCUGGGAAUUGCCCAGUCGAGGGGGAUAACAGUUGGAAACGACUGCUAAUACCGCAUACGAUUGGAUUGCCCAGGUGGGAUUAGCUAGUUGGUGAGGUAAUGGCCCACCAAGGCGACGAUCCCUAGCUGGUCUGAGAGGAGGACCAGCCACACUGGAACUGUGACACGGUCCAGACUCCUACGUGAGGCAGCAGUGGGGAAUAUUGCACAAUGGGGGAAACCCUGAUGCAGCCAUGCCGCGUGUGUGAAGAAGGCCUUCGGGUUGUAAAUCACUUUCAGCGAGGAGUCGUUACCAACAGAAUAAGCACCGGCUAACUUCGUGCCAGCAGCCGCGGUAAUAC